rnacentral:rRNA from 1 species
UACGAGCGGCCCAAACGUUAUUCGGAUUUACUGGGCUUAAAGAGCUCGUAGGCGGCUCAGUAAGUCGGGUGUGAAAACUCCAGGCUCAACCUGGAGACGCCACCUGAUACUGCUGUGGCUAGAGUCCGGUAAGGGAGCAUGGAAUUCCUGGUGUAGCGGUGAAAUGCGCAGAUAUCAGGAGGAACACCAGUGGCGAAGGCGGUGCUCUGGGCCGGAACUGACGCUGAAGAGCGAAAGCGUGGGGAGCAAACAGG